rnacentral:misc_RNA from 1 species
AACGGUCUAUACCUGCGGUACCUGCGGAGGGAUCAUUACAGAGUUCGUGCCCUCUGGGUAGAUCUCCCACCCACUGUUUUCCUUACGACCGUUGCUUUGGCGGGCCGCCGGCCCUGCCCGGCCGCCGGCGCCCAGCUGGCGCGCGCCCGCCAGAGGCCCUCCAGACUCUGAAUGUUAGCGUCGUCUGAGUACCACAUAAUAAGUUAAAACUUUUAACAACGGAUCUCUAGAUCGGAAGAG